rnacentral:rRNA from 1 species
GAUCAUGGCUCAGGAUGAACGCUAGCGGCAGGCUUAACACAUGCAAGUCGAGGGGCAGCAUAAUGGAUAGCAAUAUCUAUGGUGGCGACCGGCGCACGGGUGCGUAACGCGUAUGCAACCUACCUUUAACAGGGGGAUAACACUGAGAAAUUGGUACUAAUACCCCAUAAUAUCAUGAGUAAGCAUUUUCGCAUGAUUAAAGGUUUACCGGUGUAAGAUGGGGAUGCGUUCCA